rnacentral:tRNA from 1 species
GGUGUUGGCGGCUUCGUAGCAGGCCUUGUAGUACUCGUAGUACUUCGCCAUGGUGAUGUUGCCGUGCUCGGGAGCGUUGGGCUCGUUCCAGCACUC